GGGCUGCAGUAUUUUGACUGUACAAAGGUAGCAUAAUCAAUAGUCUCUUAAUUGGUGACUUGUAUGAAAGAUUGGAUGAGAUAUAUACUGUCUCUAAUUAAUUAAUUGAAAUUAAUUUUUUAGUAAAAAAGCUAAAAUAAUUUUAAAAGACGAGAAGACCCUAUAGAGUUUAAUAAUUUAUUUGAUUAUUAUUAAUAUAUAAUUUUUAAAAUUAAAAUUAAAUAAAUUAUUUUGUUGGGGUGAUAAAAAAAUUAAAUUAACUUUUUUUUUAUGAUUAACAUUAAUUUAUGAGUAAAUGAUCCAUUUAUAGUGAUUAAAAGAAAAAAUUACCUUAGGGAUAACAGCGUAAUUUUUUUUUUUAGUUCAAAUAGGAAAAAAAGUUUGCGACCUCGAUGUUGGAUUAA
rnacentral:rRNA from 1 species